UACAGAGGGUGCAAGCGUUGUUCGGAAUUAUUGGGCGUAAAGCGCGUGUAGGCGGCUUUGCAAGUCGGGUGUGAAAGCCCUCAGCUUAACUGAGGAAGUGCGCCCGAAACUGCAGAGCUUGAGUACCGGAGAGGAUGGCGGAAUUCCCCAAGUAGAGGUGAAAUUCGUAGAUAUGGGGAGGAACACCGGUGGCGAAGGCGGCCAUCUGGACGGAUACUGACGCUGAGACGCGAAGGCGUGGGUAGCAAAUAGG
rnacentral:rRNA from 1 species